GAUGCGACCUCAGCUCAGGCGGGGCUACCCGCUGAGUUUAAGCAUAUCAAUAAGCGGAGGAAAAGAAACUAACCANGGAUUCCCNUAU
rnacentral:rRNA from 1 species